GAUGAACGCUGGCGGCGUGCCUAAUACAUGCAAGUCGAGCGAACAGACGAGGAGCUUGCUCCUCUGACGUUAGCGGCGGACGGGUGAGUAACACGUGGAUAACCUACCUAUAAGACUGGGAUAACUUCGGGAAACCGGAGCUAAUGCCGGAUAAUAUAUUGAACCGCAUGGUUCAAUAGUGAAAGACGGUUUUGCUGUCACUUAUAGAUGGAUCCGCGCCGCAUUAGCUAGUUGGUAAGGUAACGGCUUACCAAGGCAACGAUGCGUAGCCGACCUGAGAGGGUGAUCGGCCACACUGGAACUGAGACACGGUCCAGACUCCUACGGGAGGCAGCAGUAGGGAAUCUUCCGCAAAGGGCGAAAGCCUGACGGAGCAACGCCGCGUGAGUGAUGAAGGUCUUCGGAUCGUAAAACUCUGUUAUUAGGGAAGAACAAAUGCGUAAGUAACUAUGCACGUCUUGACGGUACCUAAUCAGAAAGCCACGGCUAACUACGUG
rnacentral:rRNA from 1 species